CCCUUAGAUGUUCUGGGCCGCACACGCGCUACACUGAAGGAGGCAGCGUGUACUCCUGGAUCGAAAGAUUUGGGUAACCCGCGAAUCUCCUUCGUGCUAGGGAUUGAGGUUUGCAAUUAUCCUUCAUGAACGAGGAAUUCCCAGUAAGUGCAAGUCAUAAGCUUGCGCUGACUACGUCCCUGCCCUUUGUACACACCGCCCGUCGCUACUACCGAUUGAAUGAUUUAGUGAGGACUUCGGACUGGGACCGAUGCGGCUUUCGGGCUGCGUCGGUAUUCUGGAAAGAUGUCCAAACUGUAUCAUUUAGAGGAAGUAAAAGGCGUAACA
rnacentral:rRNA from 1 species